rnacentral:tRNA from 23 species
GGGUGGAGCAGCCUGGUAGCUCGUCGGGCUCAUAACCCGAAGGUCGUCGGUUCAAAUCCGGCCCC